UACGAAGGGGGCUAGCGUUGUUCGGAAUUACUGGGCGUAAAGCGCGUGUAGGCGGUUGGCCAAGUCGGGUGUGAAAGCCUUGAGCUCAACUCAAGAAAUGCACUCGGUACUGGGUGACUAGAGGACCGGAGAGGAUAGUGGAAUUCCCAGUGUAGUGGUGAAAUACGUAGAGAUUGGGAAGAACACCAGUGGCGAAGGCGGCUAUCUGGACGGUUUCUGACGCUAAGACGCGAAAGCGUGGGGAGCAAACAGG
rnacentral:rRNA from 1 species